CAAAAACAUCGCCUUUCGAACCAUCAUGAAAGGUACAGCCUGCCCAGUGACUAAAUGUUCAACGGCCGCGGUAUCCUAACCGUGCGAAGGUAGCGUAAUCACUUGUUCUUUAAAUGAGGACUAGUAUGAAUGGCAUCACGAGGGUUAUACUGUCUCCUUUUUCCAAUCAGUGAAACUAAUCUCCCCGUGAAGAAGCGAGGAUAAUUUUAUAAGACGAGAAGACCCUAUGGAGCUUUAAACUAACCAGCAUUUGCUAUAUAACACAAUUUUUCAGAAACCUAAAAAACAAUUUAGCUCUUUGACUAUAAGUUUUCGAUUGGGGUGAUCACGGAACAAAAAAUAACCUCCGUGCCGAAAGGAUUAUUCCUGAGCCAAAAGUGACAACCUUAAGCACUAAAAAAAUUAACGUUUAUUGACCCAAUAAUUUGAUCAACGAACCAAGUUACCCUAGGGAUAACAGCGCAAUCUACUUAAAGAGUCCCUAUCGACAAGUAGGUUUACGACCUCGAUGUUGGAUCAGGGUAUCCCAGUGGUGCAGCCGCUACUAAAGGUUCGUUUGUUCAACGAUUAAUACC
rnacentral:rRNA from 1 species